UCACUCUUUCUUUCUUUUUCUCCUCUCCAGCCGCCCUCCCCAUCCUUUCCUUCUCUCACGAAAAUUGUCAUCAAGAAAUCACCAUCUUCACAUCAAAAAAUGGGUGCAUACAAAUAUACUCACGAAAUACUUACACAAAUCGGUUUAUACAUACACAAAUCGGUUUAUACAUACAAAUAUACUCACGAAAAUCUUUAAAACCGAAAACAUAUGUGAGUUUUGAGCAUAAGUCGGCCGGGUUUAGACUGGAUUGGUGUGAUAGUCGAAGCUAUGGUCACGAAGUCGACUUCUUUCCUUUCUUCACGACCGGAUAUCGUCAUGUUCAUGACCUACGGUUUGGUCAAAUCGUUUUGUUCAUCUUUUUCCUGAUUUAAAUCCGAAAACCAUUGGAUCCAAAAUGUUUAAUCCGAAGACCCUUUGAAUCUGAAAUCAUAAAUCCGAAAUCUUUUUAUAAAUAUAUGUAUAAAUCGGUUGUUCUCUUCUUCCUUCUAUUAAAUUCGAAAUUUUGUAUAUUAUAUACAUAUAUAUAUAUUUUCGGUUACAUAAAUGUGUAUAUAUAUGUAUAUAGAUCCGAGUUCUUGAAAAAAAUAUGUGUAUUUUCGGGUAUAUAUUUGUAGAUUCGAAAACUUCUUGAGAAAAAUGUAUGGUUUUCGGUUCAAUAUGAGAAUAUGUCAACGUAUAUAUGCGAAAAUCUCUAGAUCCGAAAUGAUUGAACCCAAAUCCUUCCAAAUCCGAUAACUACGGUCCGAAAUCUUUCAUCUUGGGACUUUUGGACAGAUAGUGAGCUUGUUUCAGUGUUUCUGACAGUUCGUGUUCCUGUUCGUUGAUAUAGGAUAUUUGUGCUUGUGCUGCUUUCAGGUACUCAGGCUAAUCAGGGAUAAAGAC